GAUGAACGCUGGCGGCGUGCCUAACACAUGCAAGUCGAGCGAACGGACGAGAAGCUUGCUUCUCUGAUGUUAGCGGCGGACGGGUGAGUAACACGUGGAUAACCUACCUAUAUUACUGGGAUAAUUUCGGGAAACCGGAGCUACUACCGGAUGAUAUUUUGAACCGCAUGGUUCAAAAGUGAAAGACGGUCUUGCCGUCACUUAUAGCCGGAUCCGCGCUGCAUUAGCUAGUUGGUAAGGUAACGGCUUACCAAGGCAACGAUGCAUAGCCGACCUGAGAGGGUGAUCGGCCACACUGGAACUGAGACACGGUCCAGACUCCUACGGGAGGCAGCAGUAGGGAAUCUUCCGCAAUGGGCGAAAGCCUGACGGAGCAACGCCGCGUGAGUGAUGAAGGUCUUCGGAUCGUAAAACUCUGUUAUUAGGGAAGAACAUAUGUGUAAGUAACUGUGCACAUCUUGACGGUACCUAAUCAGAAAGCCACGGCUAACUACGUG
rnacentral:rRNA from 1 species